GAUAAUUCCCAGAUCCAGAGAAGUGGGGCCAGAAGGUCCUGGGAGCCCUCCGGAACUCUGCUGCCUGGCAGUCCUUCAGUUUCGGGAGCUUUUCUGUCUGCCCGUGGCCUCGGCUGCCACCUGGUGGCUGCACGCUCCAAAGGAAGCGUAGAUUGAUGAGAGCCUCGGAAGUUGAGCUUCAGGCGCGGCUCUUCCCCGUCACACUGGGACCGGACGCAUUUCCAUGGCGUGGUCCCAGGAACCUCUCAGAGUGAACUGAAUUGGAUGCAAGAUCACGGUGCGUCAGAGCUAGCAAGAUCCUUAGGAUCAUUUAGCCUGGUUUACUAAUAUUACACUAUGGAAUUUAAGCCCAAGGAAUGGAGAGUACCCGACGAGCGUUAUGUAAGGAGUCGAGUGAGAAGUAAGCUGGAUGCUCUGCUUGGCUGGCAGGUACAGAAUGUGCCAGACCCAUCUGUACCAGCCUGGAUCUCUUGAGGCAUCAGCACAAUGGACCUGGCCACACCAGUUUAUUCCACACCGCUGAGGCUGGUCUUUGAGGAAUCACCACACUGUCUUCCACAAUGCACCAUGGAAUACUAUGCAGACAUAAAAAGGAAUGAGAUCAUGUCGUUUGCAGGGACAUGGAUGGAGCUAGAAGCCAUUAUCCUCAGAAAACUAACACAGGAACAGAAAACCAAAUACCACAUGUUCUCACUUAUAAGUGGGAGCUGAAUGAUGAGAACACAUGGACACGUGGUGCGGGAACAAUACACCUGGGGCCUGUUGGAGGGUGGGGGCUGGGAGGAGGGAGAGCAUCAAGAAUAGCUAAUGAGGCCAGGCACAGUGGCUCACGCCUGUAAUCCUAGCAUUUUGGGAGGCUGAGGCGGGCAGAUCAUUUGAGGUCAGGAGUUUGAGACCAGCCUGGCCAAUAUGGUGAAACCCCGUCUCUAUUAAAAAUACAAAAAUAUUAGCCAGGCAUGGUGGCAAUGCCCGUAGUCCCUGCAACUUGGGAGGCUGAGGCAGGAGAAUCGUUUGAACCUGGGAGGUGGAGUUUGCAGUGAGCCAAGAUCGCGCCACUGCACUCCAGCCUGGGCGACAGAGUGAGGCUCCAUUAAAAAAAAAAAAAAAAAAAGAAGAGCAAAUGAAUGCUGGGCAUAAUAUCUAGAUGAUGGGAUGAUCUGUGCAGCAAACCACUAUGGCACAUGUUUACCUAUGUAACAAACCUGCACAUCCUCCACAUGUACCCCUGAACUUAAGAGUUGGAAAUCAAAAAGAAAAAAGGUAUUAACUCAAAAUAAAAACAGUGUGUACUAUUUUUCUAAUCAGCAAAUGUUAUUUUAUUUUUUACUAUUAUUUUUAGAGUCGAUAUCUUGCUCUGUCACACAGUCUGGAGUGCAGUGGCAUGAUUAGCUUUGAAUUCCUGUUCAAGUGAUCCUCCCACCUCAGUCUCCAGAGUAGCUAGGGCUACAGGCAGUGCUGCCACACCUGGAUAAUUUUUAAAUUUUUUAUAGAGUUGGGGUCUUGCUAUGUUGCCCAGGCUUGUCUCAGACUCCUGGCCUUAAGUGAUCCUCCUGCCUCUGUCUUCUGAGUCGCUGGAUUACAGGUAUGAGCCACCAUGCUCAGCAGAAAAUUAAAUUUUUUUUUAACAAGUCAUUAGUUCCUGGGAAUUCUAUUUCACUUCCAAAUCCACCUCAUUUUGCAGUGCCCUGUUCUUAGUAGUCCUGGUUUAGGAAGAGUCGUGUUUCACAUGAUCAAGGUAGCCAACACAAUGAAAGUUGAGUUCACAGAGUAUUUAUUUAUUUUGGUCCCUCACAGAGUAUCUAUUUAUUUUUGGUCCCUCACAGAGUAUUUGUUUAUUUUUGUUCCCUCAAAUAAUUCAGCACAAUUAAAUUCAGCAAAUAUUUAUUGAACACUUGGAGAUGAUGAUGGAAAAUUAUGUUCACAUGGUGCCAUUUGGUACAACGGAAAUGGCAUGAGAUUUGGACCAAACCAGAAUUGUCUUAAAUCCUGGCUUUGUUAGUUUUAGGUAUGUCAUCUUGAGCAGUUCACUUCACUUUUUGAGCCACAAUUUCUCUUCCUUACAUAAAGAUAUUUAUAAAUACCCCACAGGUUGUUAUAAUAAAGGUUGAAGAUGCUUGGCACAUAAGCAAAAAUUAUGAAUAAAUAUGUAUUAAAAUAUAAAAUAACUACAAAAUAAAAUAAAAAUAUUGUUUUUCU
rnacentral:lncRNA from 10 species